GUGCCUUGAGACUAGUGGCAAGUUCAAAA
rnacentral:misc_RNA from 1 species